ensembl:snoRNA U3 Small nucleolar RNA U3
AAGACUAUACUUUCAGGGAUCAUUUCAAUAGUUUGAUACUAGAGAAGUUUCUCUGAAUGUGUAGAGUACCAAGCCAAGUCAAUUCUAAGCAAAACGAAUAACGUUGGA